ACACGUAUUCAAAUCAGAGUGUACAAA
rnacentral:sRNA from 1 species